rnacentral:lncRNA from 1 species
GUUUUGGUGUUUAAUAAGUAACCUUUUUUGACAUUCUUUGGAUCAAGUCUAAAUUUUCAGAAUCUUUAAUCAACAUCACCGUUUCAAUAUGGAUUCUUGUUAUGAUAUUCAAAAGGGACAACCAAAAUCUAAAUCCAAAUCUUCGUAUCUAUGAAAAAAUUUAGUAAAAGCUAAAAGUAACGUGUGCUGACUUCAGUGAUACACACAUUAUGUUGAUCAGUAUCCACAACAUCACAGACACAGCAACUUAGAAUAUAAGAACCAAACGACCAUGCCUAAGGAACAUUACCGUCCAAAUAGGGAAGAUAAACAAUAGGGAACAAACAAUCGUCAUAACAUUGAGACGAUUCAUUGCUAUAUUUUACAAUAAAUUGUGUUUCAUAAAAAGAAAGAAACGCAUCUCCUUUUCAAAGGGUACAAUUCGUCUACAAAAAGUAGUGUCGGUCGCCAAAAAACAGGUUUAUUAUAAAGUGAUUACACACAUGUCUCACAAUUUUGAAUGACAUUUCGUGUAAUGUCAAUACAUUAUAAUUUUUGUUAUAAAUAAAAAUCUGAAAAA